rnacentral:rRNA from 1 species
AUACGGAGGGUGCGAGCGUUAAUCGGAAUUACUGGGCGUAAAGCGUACGUAGGCGGUUGGUUAAGUUAGAUGUGAAAGCCCCGGGCUUAACCUGGGAACUGCAUUUAAAACUGGCGAACUAGAGUUGAGUAGAGGGGAGUGGAAUUUCAGGUGUAGCGGUGAAAUGCGUAGAGAUCUGAAGGAACACCGGUGGCGAAGGCGACUCCCUGGACUCGAACUGACGCUGAGGUACGAAAGCGUGGGUAGCAAACGGGAUUAGAUACCCUAGUAGUCC